GUCCAGGAGAAGCAGCAACUUCACGGCUGCUGAGCUGAUGCAGCUGCCUGGGUAGGAUCCCGUUCGAUUUUACCGUAAUCUCCCGCCUCUUACCGUAUUGCAGCAUAGUAAAGAGCACGUUUGACAGUUGUCAACGUCUCUCUCUGCUGACUCUCCCUCCCUCCCCUUCCCUUUCCUCCACCUACUAGCUGCAAAAGCAAUGAUAGAAUUUGGUUCGUUAGCUGCAUCUCGUAAGCACGUAAAAUAAUAUUAUAGCAACAAUAUUUGGGAAAUGUUUCUGAGCUGUACAUUCACACCGGGCUCGUGUGAUACAAAGAAGAAUAGGGAAAUGCAGAAAAGGAAAAAAAGAACAGAGGGGGUGAUGUUAGAAGUAUUGUAAAAAGCUUGGUGUUUUUUUUACGCAGAGGAAACUGUCACGAUUUUUCUUGCUUUGGAGUACAUUCAGAGGACCUGUUUAUCGAGCAUUUUCCUUGACUUCUUUGCAGGAAGGUCUGAUAAUAUUGUAUCAACCAAGUGCCAUCGCACACUUCUCGGCGCAUUUUCCUUAUCGCAAAAAGUCCAAUCUUUCAGGGAAGCGGGUUUAUUGUGCAAGGCUUCCCUGUCAGCUGUAAUGGAGCAGCCUGAAUUUGCUGGCAUGUGAUUGAACGGUCCUCAAAAUAUCAGCAGCUUGGAAGUGCCAUUAAUUAAAAAACAAAGCGAGACGAAUGUGACCUCUCCUACUAUCAGCACUGCGGUGCACAUUCGCUGGCAAAAUGUGUUCAAGCGGCUGUCAACCACACUUGCAAUUUGGGGCCAGCCUCUCCCACCUGAUUUACCCCAGCAAAGAACUUGCUUGAUUGAAGAUAAUAGGCUUGAAAAGAAUUCAUUUAAAGAAUAAAAGCUUCUUCUCCGAGUAGGAAAACUACUAGUUGAAAAGAAAAGAAAAAUCGGGGCAGCUAUUCCACCCCCCAUGCGAGUGCUCUGAAGACCAUCCAUCUGAUUUUGCUUAUUCUGAGCACCGCAUGUUCUCUACUUUUUCACAGUAAUGAAAACCCUUAUUGAUCGAUUCCCCUUCAGCUUCUAAAACUCGCACAAGCACUGUCUUGCCUUUUUCUUUCUUUGAACCUGCGCCUGGAAAUAAGGCAGCUCCACCAAGAAAGGGAGGCUGAAAAACUCUACUGGAGUCCCACUGGGGAAUGGAUUUCUGUGCACUCAAAGUGAGGGCUUCGAAAUCCUGAAAUGACAAUGACAUGUGAAAAGCUGGCCAACAGAAUGUAUCAGAGCCACUACAUAGAGGGUUUGGCACAUGGCAUCAGCUGGGGCACACAGCCACCACCAAUGCCAGACGUGAGCACAUGGCUCAGCUCUAAGAUCAGUCCUAAGUUAUUUUCUAUUUGCACAGGACAGCACUGCAUUAAAAAGACUAUUGAUGCACACUGGUGCAUCUUGCUAAUGCUGGGAGCUUGCUGGGGCAACCCAAUCAGAAGGGCACGGUACAAAUAAAAAUAAAAUAAAAUAAAAUAAAAAUAAUACAAAUUAACUGAAGGAACUGAAAGGCAGGCAAGCUCCAAUUCCUAGAAAUUCCUAACGCUAAACCAGAAUUCAGGAGGCAAAGGAAGCUGAGGACAUCCUCUAGUUCUUAGAUAUCACUUGAUGUUGCAGUCAUCAAAUGAUGAAUUUGCUUAUGGGAAUCAGUUUGUAUACUGCCAGUAAUGUGGUUCAAGCAGGGAAAAGUAGGCAUUAUAUUUCCUGUUCUUAAUGCAUGAAUCUGGUGGUUUUGAGGCAGAGUUUGGUUUGGAUGAAAGAAGGCUUAUCAAGUGAUCCACACACAUAGAUCCUGAGGAACAGAUCUGAACUGGAUUUAAUUUAUAAAUCCACUACACAGAAUGGCACAUAGGAUUGUUUUCUGUUUUUGGUUUUUUUGAUUGCAUCAGUACCGCUUUCUCAGCACCAUAGAAGAAUAUCUAUAAACUGGAGUCAGGUAGGUAGCUGUGUUGGUCUGAUGUAGUCAAAAUUAAAAAAAAUAUUAAAAGUUGUCCAGUAGCACGUUAUAGACCAACUAAGUUUGUUGUGGUAUAAGCUUUCAUGUGCAAGAUGUGUGCAUGCGCAUGAAAGCUUAUACCAGAACAAACCUAGUUGGUCUAUAAGGUGCUACUGGACAUUUUUUUUAUUUUUAUAUAAACUGGAGUGUAUUUAGAGCAGGGUGACAGAGAUUGUGAGGGGCCUGGAGAAAUGAUUGAAGGAGCUGCUAAGAAGCAAUUAGGUAAGAAACAGUAGCCUGGAUAAGAAACAGGUAAGAGGCAAUAUGUGAAGGGCUAUCACAUGGAACAAAUUUGUUUUCUGUUUUUCCAGGGAGUGGGACUAAAAUGAAUGGGCUCAGAUGACAAGGUGAUUUCUACCAAACACUAGAGAAAAAAUGAUAGUGAUACAGGCUGUAUGACAACAGAGUGGGUGGUGUAUUUUCCUUCAUUGGAGGUUUUAAAGGAGAGGCUCAAUGACCACCGAAACAUAAUGUUGUAAUAUUGGAUAUAGGAACCUAGCAAGCUUCCUAAGGGUCCAUUUAGUUCAGCACUGACUAGCAGGGUUCUCCAGGAUUUCCGAUAGAGGUCUCUCCCAUGAUGCCAGGAACUGAACCUGAGAUCUUCUGCAUGUAACCACUGAACUAAGGCACUUCCCCUGUAAGGUGAGUUGCAUUGGUGGGGCUGGAAUAGAAGACCUGCAAAGUCCUAUUCAGGUCCAUAACUCUGUGAUUCAGUAGCCAAGGACUGAAAUGCAUAGGUGUAGGAUCACCAGCCUUUGGGGAAUUCUGUAUACAUUUGCAAACUGGUUGACAUUAUAUGCAACACCCCAAAUCAAAGAAUGGAUGGAUAAAAUAUAGGAUUUUGCUAAGCAGACAAAUUUCUUAAAAUAUCAAGAAGGAAGAGAGAGGAAGGGCAUUUUAUUAUUAUUUUUUGUAAAGUUGAAGGCGUGUUGAUUACAGUAAAAGAUGCCAUUUAUUACCACACAUAUGUUUUGAGUUCGCAAUGUAUUCAUGGCUAAUUUGGUAGUAAGUAGUAAGCAUUGCAGUACACACACUGCAUGCCUUUACUAGUUUUAAAUGUGCUUUGGGAAAUAGUCCUAGACUGAUUAGGUGUAGUGGCUUUCUCCUGGCACAAUAAGCAAUUUCCUAUCAAUUUCUUGUUCUGUUAUCACCUAUGUAUUAACAUUGUCAAAUGAUGUUGAGUAGUAAAUUAUGAAAAAAGGGAGAGAAGGCAAUCAGCAGCUAUCUCAGAACAUGUGGAGGAUGUGCUCUCACCAGUGGCGUAGCGUGGGGGGUGCAGGGGGGGCCGGCCGCACCGGCCGCAACAUCUGGGGGGCACGCGCUCGCACUCGCAGCUCUCUGCCCCUACCAGGUUAGGGGGCGCAAAUUACUUGCCUUGCCCCGGGUGCUGACAACCCAUGCUACGCCACUGGCUCUCACCCCUGUGUCCCUGUCCCCACUGGCCUGGGUGUGCAUCCUGGAGUUUUCCAAGUGGUUGGGAACCUGCACAAUUGAGAUUCCCAGUGAUCCAGAGGAUUCGAGUUGUGUUUGGCUGGGUGUGUGAGGAUUCCCUCUUUGGACCUUCCCACUCAGUGGAUAAGGGUCUGGGGUGGGGUUGCUGGCGAUGGGGAUGUUGUGGGAAGGCUAUCUUAUAUUGCUUUCUGUCACCUGCAGAUAAGCCCACUGGGUGUUAAUGUAGAAGUGGCUUCUUCUUAUGAGGGUGUUUUGCAAGAGAGACAUUUUUACAUGCAGCUGCAGAGUAAUAUGUAGUUAUGCCCUGAGUCAUUUGGAGGAAGUGUUAGUUACAAAGGAGCUCAAGAAAAAAAUGAGUCUUCAGCACUGUCGCAGUUUUGAUUUUUUUUUUUUUUAGCAAACCACACAAAUCUAAGAUCUUUUCUUCUUCUCUUUCUCUCUCUCUCUGAAAGAUAUUUGAGACCUUGUCCUGAAUACUGAGCAUGCUAUAUAACAAAAUCCAGACAAGUAAGGACUAGUUGAAGGAAGGUUUUUGUUUUUACUGCAAACCUUCUGCACAAAAAUUUCCUAUAAGGGUCAAAAGCCUAGCCGGUGUUUUUGCUCAAAUGCUUUGAAAUGUAGCAAGUGAUGAUGUCCCAGAUUGCGUGGAUUGGGAGAAUCUCUGGGUUUCAUGUCCAUAGUAUGCAGUUUGUAGCAAAUGUUACAUUUGAGUGGAUAGAAAGCAAGACAAGCACUUGAUACAAUCAUCUAUAAUAGUUGAUGGAAAUAUUUCUGCCAACCUCCAGGCGUAAACUAGGCCAUCACAUGUCACUGUGGAAGUUUCCUUGGUUUCUUGAGUGACUGCCAUUACAGACCACUACUCAAUUGUAGAGAUGGACUUUCACAUAUGUGCACCAACGAGUAAUCUCUGUGUUAUUCUGUAAUUUAUUUUUUUAAGAAAGCACAUUAAAAUGCACAUACAAAUAUUUCUAAAUGAAUUUUCUCUCAAAAGAUGCGAUUCUAUACGUGUUUUCUCUCAAAAAUAACCACUUUGGUUGAAAAGUCAUAUUUAAGGAAUAUACAGUAAAGGUAUCAAUGGCUCCUAGCCACCAUGGCUGUGUUCUGCAUUCACUGUCAGCGGCAGUAUGCCUCUGAAUACCAGUUGCAGGAAUCACAAGUGCUGUUGUGCUCUGUGCUCCGUUUGUGGGAAUCCCAUAGGCAUCUGGUUGGCCACCAAGAGAAGAAGAUGCUGGAAUUUAUUUUAAGCAUCUAUAUACUGUACAACUUAAUAUUUUAAAAAUCUAAGCUGUGUGGGCGAUUAGCCUGGGUGGACCAAUGGCCUGAUCCAGUAGGCUCUUCUUAGGUUCUUCUAUCCUUGGGAUGCUAUUCUAAGUUGGGAAGGCAUGGGAAACUGAAGUAACUAAGUCUUCCCUAUGUCAUGCACUGUUGGUCUCAUGCCAACUUCAUAUAUAUAUCGUUGCCUGCCACCAAUGUUACACCCCAGUCUCCACAGUGGUGUCAGAUUCCAAGGAUUCCAGGCAUGCUUACCCUGUGUUUCCUUUUGGAAAUGAGGCACAGAGGAGACUGUGGUGUCUGUAUGAUAUGUGGUUUAUUUACACAUAUAUACAAGCUGAGACUAUUUUGGAGGGGUUCACAGCAUUAGCACCCCAAGAGAGUGAUGCUUCUCCCAAAGGCCUUGCCUCCAGCUCUUCUGUUUCUCCGUCACCUACUCCUCACUCUAACCUUUGGCUUUAACUGCGGAGUAAAAGGGGCCCAUCCCUUUGGUGCCUCACACAGGUCCUAGUCUGACACUAUAACCACUACACCACACUGACUGGACACUGCUACAAGAGUGUGACUGCAAGACUUCAUCUGAGCCUCAGGAACUACCAUGGAGCCAGCUCUGAAGUUUUCUAAUAGAGGAGUGAUCCUUUAGGUGCAGAGUACAUUUAUUUAAUCAGUGAGUAACCACAGCUAGCCUUUCAGCCCCUGUGAUUACUGGGCAAAGUUCCUGACAGGCCAAGAGCACAUGGUUUCCUGGCAGGUACACUUGCCCCAUCAUCUCUCUUUUGAGAACUUAAUUAAUGUGCAGGCAGGCAUCCUCCCCCAAUGUCAUACUCAUCCUGCUCAUACUCAUCACAGAAAGGAAAGGGGACCCCCUGCAGUGGGAACUCCAUGGGAGGGGGCCACCAGUGUCCGCCUGCACAGCAGGUUGCAGAGGGGAGUGUGGGAAGUCGAAGGGGAGGCUAAGAGUCAUUCCUGGCUCUUUUGUCCUUACAUGGUAUUGCUGAUAUCUUUUUUUUUCUUUCUUUUUCUUUUUCAGCAUCAUUAGGCUCAAAGGAACUGCUGAGUGCUCUCAGUUAAGUAAUUACUUCAUUUCAUAGAGAUUAAUGACACUUGCAAUGUUUCACUGACAAACACAGGUAUGGGAAGGCAGCUCCAGGGAAGAUAGCAAUUAUCAAAAGGGAGGAAUGGGGAGGUGGAAUUGUGCUUUGGAAACGUGAGUGUGGCAGCGUUGCCAAAGCAUCCGUGUUCUCAUACGCAGGCAAGAAUUGAAAGCCCUUUUUGUUCUCUCUGAUGCAGAUGUAUGGGAAUUCAGUGCUGUCCAGUAAACAACUUGAUCCAAACCCAAGAUCCACCAGGAGGAGUGAGUUUGGAAUAGAGGGUGCUUGGGCUAAGCCAGCUAAAGUGCUGGCUCAGUCGAAGGAACACUGAUGUAACUCCUGCAUCCUGGCUGAGCCAGUGAUUAGCCAGCUCAGAUGAAGCCUGAACAGACACAGGUGUAAAGCUGUUUUAAAGGUUUGUUUCCUCUUUAUCUGGCUUGGGCUAGUUCAGCUGGGAGUAGCCCUGUGCCUGAAUGAGCUUGGAACAGGAGGAAGUUACACAGCCAUGAUUUGUGUUGUUGUUUAGUCGUGUCCGCCUCUUCGUGACCUCGUGGACCAGAGCACGCCAGGCACUCCUGUCUUCCACUGCCUCCCGCAGUUUGGUCAAACUCAUGCUGGUAGCUUCGAGAACACUAUCCAACCAUCUUGUCCUCUGUCGUCCCCUUCUCCUUGUGCCCUCCAUCUUUCCCAACAUCAGGGUCUUUUCCAGGGAGUCUUCUCUUCUCAUGAGGUGGCCAAAGUAUUGGAGCCUCAGCUUCACGAUCUGUCCUUCCAGUGAGCACUCAGGGCUGAUUUCCUUCAGAAUGGAUAGGUUUGAUCUUCUUGCGGUCCAUGGGACUCUCAAGAGUCUCCUCCAGCACCAGAAUUCAAAAGCAUAAAUUCUUCGGCAAUCAGCCUUCUUUAUGAUCUAGCUCUCACUUCCAUACAUCACUACUGGGAGAACCAUAGCUUUUACUAUACGGACCUUUGUUGGCAAGGUGAUGUCAUUGAAAAGCCAUGAUUUACUCUGGUGUAAAUCACAUAAAUUAUGGCCAGCAAGAUUAAAGCAGGAGAAGAAUGCAGAGUAGGGGCAGGAAACCUUUAUUAGCCUGAGGGCCACAUUCACUUCUCGGUACGUUUUUGGAGGCCACAUGUUCAUGGUUGGUGGUACCAGAGGCAACUGUGGGCAGAGCAAUGAAUACAAAUAUUAGCCACUGUACAGCAGGCCACUUUCUGUACACCUUUUCUCUAGUCUCUGGAGGGUGGACAUAAAUACUUCUCUGUCUUGAUUUACAAUCACAGCUGGAAAAUAAGGGGUUUCCCCCCUCACACACUUUCCAUUUAUUGUGGUAUAAUUGUUGUUCUCUCCCACCACAGAUUUCUUGGCAUGCUACUACACUAUGACAUCAUUAUUUAGCUAAUAAUGUAUUAAUAAUGUAUCCCAUUUUUAAUUCCACUGCAAAAAUAAUAACUUUAAUGAAAGAUAAGAAUGAAUUCUCAAUAUUUUCUUUGAGUGGGAUGUGUACAAACAUCAUCCCAGUUUCUGUGUGGUGGGGAUGGUUUGUGAGACAUCUGUUUUGUGUCACUUCCCUCUGACUUGUGCUAGCUGUCAGUUUGUGAACUUAGUUUAGAUGAGAGAUAUGUAAGAUGGAAAUGAUGGUACUAAGUCUUAGUCCUGCCCAUAACAGCAAUAAUUAGCUGCAGACAAAAUUCCUUCACAGUAACCAGAUUUACCAGGCAGACACAAGGUUAGAAUUCCAGAAUACUAGGGAUUAUUAUUUUUUUAUUUAAAAAAUCCCCAAAAGAAAGAACAGUGUGAAAGGGCUCUGCCCAUGCUCAUAGUUGAGCGUGCUCAUAAUUGCAACAUUUAUUGGCUGGAGGAACAUGAGGGUACGUAAAGCACCACAUAGCCUGUGAUUUCAAUUGUUAUUUUGACUUAUUGAUAACUCACUGAUUUUUCUUUAAACCACAGAACAGCAAAGAUCCUCCUUGAUUUUAAACUGGUAGAGAAGUGGCCACAGAAAAACAAAUAUACAUUACAGAAGAGCUGAGCCUUCAGCAUUGCAAUUUUGGGAAGUAUCCCUAAUUUGAAGAGUUGUUGGCAGAUUUUCUGCUGCUCACAAUAGCAAACAUAUCCAGCUUUCCUUAGUGAAAAAAAAUGCAUUACUAGUGCAAUCCCUCCAGUAAAAAUUAUGCUGAGUAAUCACAGACAACUCAGCUCAACUAGGCCCUGAAGGGAUGUGUAGCUAUAUCAGCAUGUAGCAAACUUGCUUGUGUGUUGACCCUGAGAUCACAGAGGCAAACACAUAAUGGCGGAGUGGGAAGCAGAAGUCAGGAUGCAAGAUGGCAGUCAGAGAAGAUAGAGCAGAGUGUUAAAGCUAUAUCCUCACAAUGGAAACAACACAUUGGUUCAGACCUAUGGCAAGUGUUCUUUCCGUCACCUAGACCAGUGGUUCUCAAACGUUACUUGCUACAGACCACUUGAAAAUUUCUGAGGGUCUUAGUAGACCUCAUAAUGAUUUUUGUGCCUGUUUCAUGAAUUGUAAUUUCAUAGAAUAUUGUAAUGCAAUAUGUAAAGCAUAAUUCAAAAUUAAAUUACCCCCCCCCCAAAAAAAACCCAAUGGAAACAACACAGCCAGUUUGUUAAAUUGCAUUGAAGAUGCAUGAGGACAGCUUUCUUUUUCUGGGAAAGAUUUCUCCUGACUUAAGCUGCAGAUCAUUCUUGCAAAAGGCUAUUCUUUCAUUUUGAGAUUAAUACUUACCUUUUGCCAUCCUUGUGGCCCCAGGGUUCAUCAUUCUAGAACUUUGUAGCUUUGCUCCACCCAAUAUUUCUAUCACCAGACAAUAUACAGCUAUUGUCUUGUCUUCCCUUUAAAGCUUCCAUCUCCCUCUUGUGUCUAAAUAGCAACUUUGGGCUGCCUAUUUUUCUAAACUGUUGAAGGCACGUCAAUAAAUAGACAGAUCACUUUUUAUCCAAAGAGGUGCACUGACCAUUUAAAUUCUUUUUUAAAAAAAUGCAAGCUCAAAACUCAAUUUUGCUAACACUACCUUUAGGGGAACAGCUCUGUGUCAGCAACAUUACGCUAUAUAGUAUUUAAAAAGGAGACAUGAAAUGUUGUGCAGCAUGGCCAAUUUAUCGAAGUUUGUCAAGAAAUAUGGUUUCCCAUUAGUUGCUGACUAUAUAUCUUGUUUAAACUCCUUUAAAGCAGAAAAGUCCCAAAGAAAUAGCUGUGUGAGCCACUACUUUUCAAUAAGAAGCCCAAUUGCUAACCAGCUUUGGUGCACAGUUUCUGCUUGUACUUUGGGUCUGUGCCCUAAAGAAUUUGAAAGGCUGUUUCAGGGUUGACCUUUAUCAAAAGAAAAAUUACCAUUGUCGUACUUCUGACAGCAGCUUUUUUAAAGGCAUGAGGUGGCUCUUAUAGAGAUGUGAGAGAAAUUAAAUUCACUUCACAUUUAAAGGUAAACCUACCUCAUUCACACUUUCCACAACAAGAACCAAAGCAAAGCCAUUUAUUGAAAUUCGCACUGCUCCGAGUUUUUCAGUGCAGUUCCUCAGUCAAGGACCGUGUACAAAAAUGCACGUGGUUGGCUAAUGUGUCCAUAAAAGUGUAUAUAUAGAUGAAAAUAACUUACAGAGAUGCAAUAUAAUAGUGAAAACCGCUUUGCAAACAUGGUAUAUAUUAGGAAAAAUUGCAUACAAAUUUGUGUUUGGUAAGAGAAAUUCACACUAAAAUACUGGUUCAUUUUCAAUGGGAUUUUUUAUUAAAUCACAAAUCAAUACAGAAAUGUGGAGAAGUAUAUAUUAUGUUGGAAAAAUGAGAAACUUUCAAGUUGCUGCAUUUCCCCUCUUUAUUUUAUUUCAGGCCAUCCUCCAAAGCUGCUUAUGUUCACCCUCAACCCAACAUCUGCUAAGCUGGACGCUGGACACAGAAUUGGCUGUUGCCUAUCCUCACUUGAACAUGCCAAUCUGAGCACUACAACAAGCCAAAUGAUUGCAUGGCAUAAAUGAAAAUAUCCUUGUGAAAAGGGGAGGGAACUGUGCAAGG